GUUUUAAUAAUUUAAUAUAAAAUAUUGGUCUUGUAAACCAAAAAUAAGGAAAACUUUUAAAACU
rnacentral:tRNA from 2 species